CAAUCCCUUCUACAAUCCCGCAUUCAUUAUUACCAUUUUCCCUUCUCUUCCCACCUUCACACACCAUCUGAGAUACUAUUCUUUUAAUCAACUUUUAUGGCCUCUUUCAAAUCAAAGCUUGAAAGAUUAGAUCCACUUGAAAAAAAAAACAAAAAGAAGAAGAUGAAGAACAGAACAUGACAAGCCACGUGGUCAGUUGAUGCCACAAAUACAACCUCAAACAAGUCCUCCUCGUAAAGCAUCGUCUUCCCCACUAACACUCCAAUUUCAAAGUACGCACAAACAAAGACAAUUACAGAAUUAGACAAAAAUAAAAUAGAAGGAUAACGGAGUGAGAAUCUUGAGAGGUGGGGACAUGCAUGAUGAUCGAGAUCACACAUCACAUCCCCUAAUUUGAGCCUGUCAAUCUCAGCCAAUUAUAUGAUCUUCUCUUCAUUUAA